GGUGGCUCAGCGGUAGAGUGCUUGCCUUGCAAGCAUGAGGCCCUGGGUUUGAUUCCUCUGCACCA
rnacentral:tRNA from 1 species